AAUGUAUGUAACAAGAGGAUGAACUUUAUAAAUUAUAAAGUGAUAAAAAUAUAUUCUAUUUCAUACAUCACAGGGGAAAAAUAUGGUUCAAACUGUGAAAUUUGUUUGUGUUAUAAUUAUCUUUAUUUCCCUAUUUCUUGCUGCAAUGAUUGUUGAAGGUCGUGUUAAAUAUAAAGAAGACUAUGGUGGCCAAAACAAGUGGAAUGAGUUUCCUUUGAAACCACACAUUAGAACAUAUCGUAUUAAAUGUAAAGACGACUCUGGUUGUGAAGGCAACAACUUGUGUGAGGGUCGUUGGAUUCCAAAGUGCCUAAAACCUUAUUUUUUAUUCCUGACCACAAAAGAGGGCUUUUGUGCAUGUGUAUGAGCAAGGUUCCGAUAAAAUUCUGCUGCAAAAUUCCAUGAGCGAUCAUUUUGUUAUUGCAUUGGCACCCGAUAAUUUGAAUUUUUUUUCUUUUUAUAUUUUCACAAACCUUGUCAUUGUGGACUUGUCCACUAAGAUGAUCAUAAUCAAAUAAAAUAAGGAAAAAAAUAAAAUUAUUUAA